AUUGAACGCUGGCGGAAUGCUUUACACAUGCAAGUCGAACGGCAGCACGGACUUCGGUCUGGUGGCGAGUGGCGAACGGGUGAGUAAUGUAUCGGAACGUGCCCUGUCGUGGGGGAUAACGUAGUGAAAAUUACGCUAAUACCGCAUACGAUCUAUGGAUGAAAGCGGGGGAUCGCAAGACCUCGCGCGAAUGGAGCGGCCGAUAUCAGAUUAGGUAGUUGGUGGGGUAAAGGCCCACCAAGCCAACGAUCUGUAGCUGGUCUGAGAGGACGACCAGCCACACUGGAACUGAGACACGGUCCAGACUCCUACGGGAGGCAGCAGUGGGGAAUUUUGGACAAUGGGCGAAAGCCUGAUCCAGCCAUUCCGCGUGCAGGAUGAAGGCCCUCGGGUUGUAAACUGCUUUUGUACAGAACGAAAAGGUUUCUACUAAUACUAGGAGCUCAUGACGGUACUGUAAGAAUAAGCACCGGCUAACUACGUGCCAGCAGCCGCGGUAA
rnacentral:rRNA from 1 species